GUGGGGAAUCUUAGACAAUGGGCGCAAGCCUGAUCUAGCCAUGCCGCGUGAGCGAUGAAGGCCUUAGGGUUGUAAAGCUCUUUCAGCUGGGAAGAUAAUGACGGUACCAGCAGAAGAAGCCCCGGCUAACUCCGUGCCAGCAGCCGCGGUAAUACGGAGGGGGCUAGCGUUGUUCGGAAUUACUGGGCGUAAAGCGCACGUAGGCGGAUCAGAAAGUCAGAGGUGAAAUCCCAGGGCUCAACCUUGGAACUGCCUUUGAAACUCCUGAUCUUGAGGUCGAGAGAGGUGAGUGGAAUUCCGAGUGUAGAGGUGAAAUUCGUAGAUAUUCGGAGGAACACCAGUGGCGAAGGCGGCAUCCUGGGCCAACACUGACACUGAGGCACGAAAGCGUGGGGAGCAAACAGGAUUAGAUACCCUAGUAGUCC
rnacentral:rRNA from 1 species